GAAGCUGCUUAGAGCGGGUGAGUGAAAGUUGAGCGGAGCAAACUAACAGAGUUAGUGGGUGUGUGAGGAGGAAUGGAGCCAGCGGAGUGGGCAGGGAGGCUUCAUAAAGACACAGUGCAGGCCUCAGACCCCAAAUAACAAGGAUGUUAGAAGAGGAGGGCAAACUCGAGGGAGAUGAGAAACCAAAACCAAAUAUCACGUCAAAAUCUGAAAGUCACUUGAUUCAUCAGGACCUGAAUAUUACCUGCCUUUGAAUAUACCAGCAUCUAUUGUGAUCCCCAGCUGCCUGUGGAGAAGAUGAUGUUUGACCUUCUUGAACCGCUGCAGUCCGUGUGGUGAAGGUGCUCCCACAAUGCUGUUAGGACAGACGCAAGAAUCCCAAAUUUCAGAGGGAACAACAAUUUCUGCUGCAUGAGAAAAGGGUGCAGAUUGGUUGGCCAGUCAGCUCUGAUUGGUUGUUGUCAUGGAGAAUACAGCAAGGAGCUGUCAUCCUCUGCGCUUUUGUUUAAUUCCACAAUAGGCCCAGUGCCUGGACUUGUUCCUUCUGCCUGCAGAGGACAGGUCCCUGUGGAUGAACAUACGGAGCUUCUAGCAAGUGUAAGUGAGCCACAUUACAAGCCUGACUGAUAAUUUUUGAAAUUUGAUAUUCUUCCCUCUAUCCUGAUGAGUACAAGAUAAAAUGUUUUGACAGAAUGUCUUUUUUUAUUAAUACUCAGUUGUCUUAAAGGGGGAAAGUGUGGUGGACAGAGGGAGAGUAUUUCAGAGCUUGGGGUCGAGGGAACUGAAGGCACGGACACUAAUGGUGGAGCAAUUAAAAUAGGGGUGUUAGAAUUAGAGCAGUGCAGAUAUCUCAGAGGUUGUGGGUCUGUAGGAGAUUGCAGAGAUAGGGAGAGAGGAGGCCAUGGGAGGAUUUGAAAACAAGGAUGAGAAUUUUAAAAUCAAGUUGCUGCUUGAAUGGGAGCCAAGGAAGGUCAGGGAACGGGCUUAGCUGUGAGUGAAGACACAGACAGCAAAAAUAUGGAUGUCUUUAAGGUUACGAAGGGUAGAAUAUAGGAGACCAGCCAGGAGUGUGUUGAAAUGGUUGAGUCCAGAGGUAAAAAUGGCAGUGAGACCCUCCUGAGACAGGGGUGAGGUCAGGUGAUAUUUCGGAGGUGGAAACAGGCGAUUUUAGUGAUGGCACAGAUAUGAGGUCAGCAACUCAUUUCGAGAUCAAAUGUAACACCAAGUUUGUGAACAGACUGGUUUAAUCUCAGACUGUUACCAGGGAGAGGGAUGGAGUUGGUAUCUGGGAAAUGGAGAUUGGAGCAGGGACCGAAAACUGUGUCUUCAGCCUUCUCAGUGUUUAAUUGAAGUUAAUUAGUCAUCAGGAAGGGAAGCAGGAACCAGAAUGGGCCAUGAGACUGAUCCCAGGUUUAACUCAGAGAGGGAGAGAAGGAAGGAAACCCUUGGACGUUUGGAGAAACCACCUUCAUAAUCACUCAUUAAAUCUGCACACAGUAAGUUUUGGGCACAAGGUUAACAUCUGUUAUUCUGCAUGGCUGGUGAGUGGGUUUCAGAUUAAUGUUUUGUCACGAGUAAUCUCUGAAGUGAAUGAUCAGACAUAUUGUCAUCUCCAGUUGUAGAAAUUUGUUAAAAAGAUACAGAAGGAAUUGUCCAAAACUCUGUUUGGAUUUCAGCACAGGGAGGAGGGAGAGUGUGUGGAACAGGGAUUUGCAGCUUUCGGGGAACAAGAGAGGAAAAAAUGUUCCGUAGAAACUAGAAUUGUCUGUUCUGAAUUUCUAUCCUGUUCUUACAGUGACGACACUUGUAAACUCCUUUUACAGAGAAUUAGAAGGGGAGGAUUUUCAGGCAGGAAACUCAAACCAAACAUCACAU